ACUAAGGAUUGCAUACCUCCACCGCAGUGAUUGACUGCGUAAGAAUUUUAUGCACGGGUUGAGAUGGAUUGAAAACAAUUACAAAACUUCAAUUAACAAAGUUCAAACUUGUUACAGAUAACAAAGACGAUGACGAAAAACUUGACUACCACGAACACCACGACAAACAUUUCAGUGCAGAAACAAAGACCAAGAGAAAGAUUUCGAAAAUUAUAUGCCACUUCCAGACACGACAGCUCUUCGUAAUUGUCAUGUAUUCAAUUAUCGCCAAAAUAUUCAAUUAACAAAUUUUAAGACUAAGUAAAAUAUCUAAACAUAACAUUUAAAUAAAAACAGUAUAUGCUGA